UACGUAGGGGGCAAGCGUUAUCCGGAUUUACUGGGUGUAAAGGGAGCGUAGACGGCGCGGCAAGUCUGAAGUGAAAGGCAGGGGCUUAACCCCUGAACUGCUUUGGAAACUGCCAUGCUAGAGUGCUGGAGAGGUAAGUGGAAUUCCUAGUGUAGCGGCGAAAUGCGUAGAUAUUAGGAGGAACACCAGUGGCGAAGGCGGCUUACUGGACAGUAACUGACGUUGAGGCUCGAAAGCGUGGGGAGCAAACAGG
rnacentral:rRNA from 1 species